GUCUAUGGCCAUAGCACUCUGAACGUGCCUGAUCUCAUAAGCUAAGCAGGGUCAGGCCUGGUUAGUACUUGGAUGGGAGACCACCUGGGAAAAACAGGUGCUGUAGGCU
rnacentral:rRNA from 1 species